AGCGCGUGGCGGAGAGCAGCCGUCGGGUGGGAGGAGGUGGGGAUGGGAGCGGAGGGACGGGCAUCUUCCGGUAGCAGCCGCGUUGUGAGGGGUAGGAGUGACACUGCUGUGAAUGGAAGUUAGACCUGCAGGCCAAAACCAGUGUCACCCUGGCACAAGGAGAGCCCACCUAAUGGCAUACUUUUUAAGAUCUCCAAACAGAUGCUGCUGCAGGAGUCUCCAUAUGGUUUGUGUCAUUGCCCCAGGACAAAAGAGACAUCCAGGAUUUGGACAGAGUUUCUGCUGCUGUUCUUCCAAAGCCUCCAUCCCAGCUGCUCACAUCAGAAACAAAGCGAGGCCCUAACCCUUGGCAAUUCCUAGCAGCAGAAAGGGCCACCAGAGCUAGCGGUUAGUAAGAAGUAACCACUUUAAUAUAAAGCAAAUAUUCCUCGAGCUUCUUUAAUCUGUUCAAAGGAUUGUUGUACUGCUUACCAGCCUUGGUAUUAGCAAGGGGCAAAAGUGGUCAUUACUGUAAUUUGGUCAGCUGCUUGACUCCAGAUUUGUCUUACCAGACGUCAUUUUGCUCCAGUAGUAGCCUCAAGCGUUCUGUUCUUCUGUAUAUAUGUAAAUAUAUGAUGAAGAGUGACCCAGCCAUCUUAUUUGGCUUGCAUUUUGGAAUUUAAAGAAAUAGAAAAUAGACAGAAUCAUAGAGGUUGGAAAGGACCCCUGGAGGUCCAUCUCUCUGCUAAAGCAGAUUUCCUGGAGUAGGUUGGUUGCGUAGGAAAGCAUCUGAUUUUGUGUAUCUCCAGAGAAGGGGACUCUACCACCUCUCUGGGCAGCCUGUCCCAGUGCUCUGUCGCCCAAACAGUAAUGAAGUUUGUAUGAAACUGCCUAUGUUCCUGUUUGUGCCCAUCGCCCUUUGUCCUGCUGCUUGGCACCACUAAGAGCCUGGCUCCAUCCACUUGACUUGACUCACAGCUAUAGGUAGUCUUUUUCAGUAUUAUCACUAAGUGGCUAUUUUUGGUGAACCUGAGUAGGUAGCACAAUUAUGAAAUGCAUUGUGAGAACAAGCUGCACAUUGUUUAAGAAAAAGAAAAAAAAAAUCUGUGCUGUAAGGGAUGAUAGGAGGGAGGAGGGGUAGGAACCACUUAUACUUGUCUUCAGUAUAUCCAUAACUAACUGGUUCUCUUCCACCCCUCAUGUAGUGACACUCUAGUGAAAAACUAUUUCCUUCUGUUACUUUUAUACAAUUUGCAGGCCAUUAUUUGACCAUAAACACAUAACCUUACUGUAAAUGGGAGCCUUGAAGACAGAUUUGCUUGUGUCUAGUAAUUUGAGUAGCACUGAGGAACAGCUACAAUAUGCCUUAAAGGCCCAGCAGAUGUAUCUGCUUUGUUCAGGAUGAAAAUUUUACUCAGUGAUUUUCGGGGUGGGUAUUUCUUAAGUUCUUUGCAUGUCUCUGGGAGGAUUUGUGUAUACCUGCUUGAUUUCAUGGCUGCUGAGUUCAAAAAUGCCGUGCAGGACUUGGGCAGCCAUGAAUUAGUGUACAGACUGAGGAGACAUGAAAAUGAGGUGAUGAGGCUUGGCUGUAGAAAGAUUUUUGCUGUCAGUCUGAAUGAAAUAACACUGUGGGACUGGAAACAGCAGGCACUGUCAGAUAGAAAGGAUUAAAAGGCUUUUUAGUGUGGCUUAGUAGUGUACAGAAGAUUGGCUUACUUGUGAUAGAUCUUCUUUUGUCACAUUGAUCUUUAUUUCGCAUUGUGCUUAAUACAACAAAAACUGAAGUCUGAAGUAUUCUUUCAUGAAUCGUCUCACACAAUGUGUGCCUUCUGUUACUUACAAAAAUCUUUUUUUUUUUUAAGAAAUUGAUUUUAUUUUUUUUUUUUUCCACUAUAGCCAAUGUUGAGUCACAGCUGAAGAAUACGGAGUUGUAAUAAUUUUAUGAUCACUGUAUGUGGCCAUGUUGAUGAGAGGAAGGCUAUGAUAGAAUGAGCUACACUACUUUAUGUUACUUUCCUGUAUGGAUGUAUCGAUCUAACAUAAUAGGGAGCUAGCUGAUGAAGGAAUAAAAGGCAAUUCAAUGGUUCCCUGUGUCAGCUGUAUGACUAAACCCAUGAGGUGGUAAUUACAGGAUGAUAGCUCCCGUUCCAGGGGAUGCAGCUGGCUUGUCAGGCUGGAAACUAGAAAUAAGGGAAGGAUGAUGUUGGCAGAGGCUGACUAAGGAAAUUAUUUGACACAGAGCAAGACUUAGCAAGAGAGGCUGGAAGAAGCUGGGCCUUCCUUUUGCCAGCACUGGAGCAGUAGGUAUGACAUACAGAAGGAAAGGUGUGUGUGUUGACUGGUUCAUUGUUUUUAAGAUUUAUUUUGCCUUAAAUGGUUGGUGCUAAGUGUUUUGUGAUUGGUGCUUACUGUCUUUACUUCACGAGAGACUAAAACUGCAAGGCCUGGGUCUGUCUUGAAUCUGCAGAGGUAAUCAUGGCUCAUACACCGGGGAAGCAACCUGAGAACUGCUCUGCCUGUAGCUAAAGAAGACAGUGUGAGAUCUGGGGGAACAGUUAGCUGAUCUCUUGUGAGAACAAAAAGGCAAAUGCAUGAGUUCUGCUUUUUCAUCUUUGAGAAUGAUUUUGUGCUUAAGUAGUUUAUAGAACAAUGGGCAAGCUUUCAGACAGACUCAAGCUUGGUGUUUGGAUGUUUUGUUUUUCUUUUUUAUGGCAUAGUUAAAAACUAUAAUCUGAAGAAAAAAUAUUGCAUAAAUAAUGGUGAAUAUCGGUUAUGCCUAAAAUACGGGCUAGCUGCUGCAACUGAAUGAUAAUACAGCAAAAGUAGGUUUUAUUUUGUUCCCUUUUAUUCACUGUUUAUUGUACAGCUGUUCUCACCACUUACCAUAUAUAAUCAAUUGGUUGUCUCCUGCUGUUAAUAUGGAUAUUUAGUACAUUGAAAUUGAAAAAAGACAUUUUUGUGGUAAGGAAAAUGCAGCUAAAAAACUUGUCUUU